rnacentral:lncRNA from 1 species
UAAAGAAGUCGGCCAGCAGCUCCAAGAUGAUUUGAUGAAGGUCCUGAACGAGCUCUACUCGUGAGGAGAAACAUGUCCGGAGGAGCUCAGUGAAGAAGAUUGAGAAGAUGAAGGAGAAGCACCAAGCCAAGUACACGGAGAAUAAGCUGAAGGCCAUCAAAGCCCAGAAUGAGUACUUGCUGGCUUUGGAGGCAACCAAUGCAUCUGUCUUCAAGUACUACAUCCAUGACCUAUCUGACCUGUUGUGACUUAGGCUACCAUGCAAGUCUGAACCGGGCU